UCCUCCUCUCGAAUACUAGUUCAUCCCUGGGAAGUUGGUUUUGGUGACCCUUUCUUUCUCACUUCCACCCUCCUUUGGAGACCUUGUUUAUUCUCCUGUGCCCCCCAAUACACACAUGUGUAACAUCUACUUAAUUUUUCCUCGUUUGACCAAAUCCUGGCAUUACUGUCACACCAAUUAUCUCUCUUUCUAUGGAGUUUAUUGUCCCAAGAAAUUAUGUUGCAGAAUGGAGAAAAGCAGGGCUUAUACAGGUUCAGUGGACCUUACAGAGAUAACACAGAUGGAUACACUCCCAGUCAUGCACCACAGAAAUGGGUCCCACUGUGACUUUAGCAUCCACCCCUACCCUAUUAUGGCCGAGAAUGGCCAAGUGCCUAUGUCGUAUCCCACUCCUGAGUUUUCAAGAAAUCUGGUAAGUGUGUCUAAGAAGGUGCGAGUCAGCUUCUGUGCUUUGCUGACUGCAGCAUCUUUUGUGCUUCGGAGAGUUAAUCCUGUUUUGUUGAAAAUUGUUUUUAUCUUUUGUUAUCUUCAACUUUAAAAUGGACAAAACUUUACAGCAAACCUAUUUUUUUCUCUUUACACAUUAAUAGUAAUAUCUUCCUUACUCUUCUAGAAAGGACGGCACCUGCUGUCCCGAUACCUGAGUUGUCUCUGCUUAGACUUUCGUACAGAACUCGUAAUUACCUGGUGUGUUGUGUAGAUGCAGGUUGUUAAAGCUCCCAUUUAGUCCUUCACAUUCCCUUCACACAGAGGCAGGGGCUGCCUGUACGACCCUGUGGUGCCUGGCCUUUGA
rnacentral:lncRNA from 1 species